GAGGAGGGGCUGGGGGAGGAAGAGGAAAAGCUACAGGGUGAGCCAAAUAAAGACCUGUAUAAGGAGGAGCGAGAGGGAGAGCUUAGAGGGGAAGCAGGAGAAGAGCGAGAGGGAGAGCUUAGAGGGGAAGCAGGAGGAGAGAGAGAGGGUGGCUUGAGGUUGGAGCUGAUGGAGAGCUCUGUUCCACGGACCCUCUGGAGAACCAGUCUGGGACUGCCGGGCUGGCUGGGGUUUGGGAGGAGGGCAGCUGUCCAAGC